GAGGGUUUGGUCACCUGUAAGGAGCUACAUUAGUUAGUUAGUUACCUCUCAACAUGAGGGUUUGGUCAGCUCUAAGGAGCUACAGUAGUUAGUUAGUUACCUCUCAACAUGAGGGUUUGGUCACCUGUAAGGAGCUACAGUAGUUAGUUAGUUACCUCUCAACAUGAGGGUUUGGUCAGCUCUAAGGAGCUACAGUAGUUAGUUAGUUACCUCUCAACAUGAGGGUUUGGUCAGCUCUAAGGAGCUACAGUAGUUAGUUAGUUAGUUAGUUACCUCUCAACAUGAGGGUUUGGUCAGCUCUAAGGAGCUACAGUAGUUAGUUAGUUAGUUAGUUACCUCUCAACAUGAGGGUUUGGUCAGCUCUAAGGAGCUACAGUAGUUAGUUAGUUACCUCUCAACAUGAGGGUUUGGUCAGCUCUAAGGAGCUACAGUAGUUAGUUAGUUAGUUAGUUACCUCUCAACAUGAGGGUUUGGUCAGCUCUAAGGAGCUACAGUAGUUAGUUAGUUACCUCUCAACAUGAGGGUUUGGUCAGCUCUAAGGAGCUACAGUAGUUAGUUAGUUACCUCUCAACAUGAGGGUCUUGUCAGCUCUAAGGAGCUACAUUAGUUAGUUAGUUAGUUAGUUACCUCUCAACAUGAGGGUUUGGUCAGCUCUAAGGAGCUACAGUAGUUAGUUAGUUACCUCUCAACAUGAGGGUUUGGUCAGCUCUAAGGAGCUACAGUAGUUAGUUAGUUACCUCUCAACAUGAGGGUUUGGUCAGCUCUAAGGAGCUACAGUAGUUAGUUAGUUACCUCUCAACAUGAGGGUUUGGUCAGCUCUAAGGAGCUACAGUAGUUAGUUAGUUACCUCUCAACAUGAGGGUUUGGUCAGCUCUAAGGAGCUACAGUAGUUAGUUAGUUAGUUAGUUACCUCUCAACAUGAGGGUUUGGUCAGCUCUAAGGAGCUACAGUAGUUAGUUAGUUACCUCUCAACAUGAGGGUUUGGUCACCUCUAAGGAGCUACAGUAGUUAGUUAGUUACCUCUCAACAUGAGGGUUUGGUCAGCUCUAAGGAGCUACAGUAGUUAGUUAGUUACCUCUCAACAUGAGGGUUUGGUCAGCUCUAAGGAGCUACAGUAGUUAUUUAGUUA